rnacentral:lncRNA from 1 species
CUCGCACAGUAAUAGACAGCCGUGUCUUCUGCUUUCAGGUUGUUCAUUUGCAGAUAGAAGUUGGAGCUGUCUGUUGAGGCUGUGAAUCGCCCUUGAAUUGCAGGGGAAUAAUAUUGACUGCUCCAACCUCUAUAGUAGCGAACAAGCCAUUCCAAUCCUUUUCCAGGUUUUUGUCGGACCCAACCCAUAGCGUAGCUGUUAACAUCAAACCCAGUGACAGCACAGGUGAGUUUGUGAGAUUCUCCAGGUUUCUUCAGUACUGGAUCCGACUGGGUCAGAAUAAUUUGUGUGAGAGUGCCUGGAAUAGGAACACAGGAAAAAGAGCUGAAACAGGAG